rnacentral:rRNA from 1 species
GACGGAGGGUGCUAGCGUUGUUCGGAAUGACUGGGCGUAAAGAGCGCGUAGGCGGCCCGAUAAGUCUGCUGUGAAAGUCCAGGGCUCAACCCUGGAAUGCCGGUGGAUACUGUCGGGCUAGAGUACGGAAGAGGCGAGUGGAAUUCCUGGUGUAGCGGUGGAAUGCGCAGAUAUCAGGAGGAACACCAAUAGCGAAGGCAGCUCGCUGGGACGUUACUGACGCUGAGGCGCGAAAGCGUGGGGAGCAACAGG